rnacentral:rRNA from 1 species
ACGAAGGGGGCUAGCGUUGUUCGGAAUUACUGGGCGUAAAGGGCGCGUAGGCGGUGUGUCAAGUCAGGCGUGAAAUCCCCGGGCUUAACCUGGGAAUGGCGAUGGAGACUGCGAGGCUAGAGUUUGGCAGAGGGGGGUAGAAUUCCACGUGUAGCAGUGGAAUGCGUAGAGAUGUGGAGGAACACCGAUGGCGAAGGCAGCCCCCUGGGUCAAAACUGACGCUCAUGCACGAAAGCGUGGGGAGCAAACAGGA